UACGUAGGGGGCAAGCGUUGUCCGGAAUUAUUGGGCGUAAAGAGCGCGUAGGCGGUCCGAUAAGUCGUCUGUGAAAGUCCAGGGCUCAACCCUGGAAUGCCGGUGGAAACUGUCGAGCUAGAGUCCGGAAGAGGCGAGUGGAAUUCCUGGUGUAGCGGUGAAAUGCGCAGAUAUCAGGAGGAACACCAAUGGCGAAGGCAGCUCGCUGGGACGGUACUGACGCUGAGACGCGAAAGCGUGGGGAGCGAACAGG
rnacentral:rRNA from 1 species